rfam:Gorilla gorilla gorilla genomic chromosome, chr12, whole genome shotgun sequence
GCCAGGUGUGGUGGCGGGCGCCUGUAGUCCCAGCUACUUGGGAGGCUGAGGCAGGAGAAUCGCUUGAACCCGGGAGGCGGAGGUUGCAGUGAGCGGAGAUCGUGCCACUGCCCUCCAUCCUGGGUGACAGAGCGAGACUCUGUCUCAA